rnacentral:rRNA from 1 species
CAAUAGCGUAUAUUAAAGUUGUUGCGGUUAAAAAGCUCGUAGUUGGAUCUCGGCAGGCAGGGGGUGGUUCGCUCUUAGCGCUACUGCCCCAUUUGCCUGUGUGAUUGGCGGAGGUUUCGGGGUGCUCUUCGUUGAGUGACCCGGGGCGCCGUCAGGUUUACUUUGAAAAAAUUAGAGUGCUCAAAGCAGGCUUUUCACGCCUGAAUAUUCGUGCAUGGAAUAAUGGAAUAGGAACUCGUUUCUAUUUUGUUGGUUUUCGGAAAUCGAGUUAAUGAUUAAUAGGGACAAUUGGGGGCAUUAGUAUUCAGACGACAGAGGUGAAAUUCUUGGACCGUCUGAAGACUAACUACUGCGAAAGCAUUUGCCAAGAGUGUUUUCAUUAA